rnacentral:rRNA from 1 species
UACAGAGGGUGCAAGCGUUGUUCGGAAUUACUGGGCGUAAAGCGCGUGUAGGUGGCGAGAUAAGUCGGGUGUGAAAUCCCUUGGCUUAACCAAGGAAGUGCAUUCGAUACUGUUUCGCUUGAGUAUCGGAGGGGUCGGCGGAAUUCCCGGUGUAGAGGUGAAAUUCGUAGAUAUCGGGAGGAACACCUGUGGCGAAGGCGGCCGACUGGACGAUCACUGACACUGAGACGCGAAAGCGUGGGUAGCAAACAGGAUUAGAAACCCCCGUAGUCC